CACGGGGGGAGCAAGCGUUGUUCGGAAUCACUGGGCGUAAAGGGCGUGUAGGCGGUCGAGUAAGUGGAAUGUGAAAUGCCCCGGCUCACCCGGGGACCUGCAUUCCAAACUGCCUCGGCUCGAGUAUGGGAGAGGAUGAGGGAAUUCCUGGUGUAGCGGUGAAAUGCGUAGAUAUCAGGAGGAACACCGGUGGCGAAAGCGCUCAUCUGGCCCAAUACUGACGCUGAGGCGCGAAAGCUAGGGGAGCAAACGGG
rnacentral:rRNA from 1 species